AGCACUCUAGCUACAGAUUAGAAUGAUGACAAGAGUAAUACCUUCCUAGUGAAGAUGACUUUUAUUUCAGGACUAUAUUAAGUUUCCCAACUUCUGUCAUGAUAUAGUCCAAAGAGAACCUGGACCACGCAGACAUCAAACAGAACAUGACACUGACCCAUUCUAUCAGUGACGUUGUGCUGAUUGCACAGGACAGAUGAGAGGCUCGUAUACUAGAAGUCUUGAUAACUUGUUUUCUAGUUUCACAUGUCCACAGAUGAAGAAAAAUUGUGCCCCAGCAAGGAUUAUACCCAGAGCCUCAUCCAUUCAUACCUGAUUUAGAUACUUAGAUGAUGAGUAAUAGAAAAGGUGGUUAUCAAACCUGGGUCAAAGUUGAAUCACCUGAGGAUCUUUUAGAACAUACACAGCCAGCUGGACCUGCCCUCAGCUACCUCAUCUCUCUCUGUGACCUAAUGACAGAAAAGCACAUGAUUCUCUUCACCUGACUUCAUAUAUGGGUCCAUGUCAUAUGAUACUUCAAAAUCUGUGAUUCCAUGAAGCCAAGAGUAGCUCUUCAACAGGAAAUGAAUGAGUGCUUCAGCUUCUGAUCCCAUUAGUAAGAAAAUACAGUCUUAUGAGCAAUGAUGGAGCUGCAUCUCUUAGGGGCAUUUGAUUCCCAAGAGACCAAAGAGCAAAGAGAAUGUCAAUUUAAAAAAAUCAAAUGUUUCCAUGACUUAGCUAUUUAACUGCUUUAAAAUGAAUGAAUGCUGCUUCAAGUUCUUUCAAAUACCCCACAUCUUGGCAACAACGAAAGGAAUUAACAUGAAGAAAAUUUACAAUCUUUCAUCACAUCGAACAAUGUCCCACAUUUGAAAAGUUCACAGCACAGAUUUCUGGUUACUGAAAGAAAGGAAAGACCUUCUUUGGAUUUGAAUAAACAGAUGGACUUUCUU
rnacentral:lncRNA from 10 species